GUGCUGAUGAAGAGUCCCAAAUUAGGACGAAACAGCCGUCCAGUAU
rnacentral:hammerhead_ribozyme from 1 species